rnacentral:misc_RNA from 1 species
GAGAGAGAGAGAGAGAGUAUUUAUGAAACAGCUGGAGAUGUUGUCGUAGGCAUAAGAUUCGACUUAGCUAUGAAUUAUUAUAGCAACAUGAUUAUGCUACUGUAUAUAUGAAGGAGACGGUUGUAGAUGGAGUAAGCAUAAGGGUACGCAAAGCUGAGAUUUAUUAGCACCUGCAUACACAUGCUAUUGAGCUGGCCAAUAUGGGACAAAAAAAAUGAUAAGUUUUGUUGAUUGUACAGUAGGCUGAAUAAUGUUAGACAAUAAUUAGAGGCAUACGUUUUUUAUGAGAUGACUUUGCAUCAUCUGCAUGUUCAUCUUAAAUAUGUAAUUCUGGAAGAUAUUUUUUGAUAGUUAAGAUUUUUAUUUCUUAAUCAUAUUAAGAAUAUAAUAUUAAUAGUGGAAAGUCUUGAUUGAUAACAUUUUAAUUUUAAUGAUCUUUGGAAAAUUU